AUUGAACGCUGGCGGCAGGCUUAACACAUGCAAGUCGAGCGGUAGCACAAGAGAGCUUGCUCUCUGGGUGACGAGCGGCGGACGGGUGAGUAAUGUCUGGGAAACUGCCUGAUGGAGGGGGAUAACUACUGGUAACGGUAGCUAAUACCGCAUAACGUCGCAAGACCAAAGAGGGGGACCUUCGGGCCUCUUGCCAUCAGAUGUGCCCAGAUGGGAUUAGCUAGUAGGUGGGGUAAUGGCUCACCUAGGCGACGAUCCCUAGCUGGUCUGAGAGGAUGACCAGCCACACUGGAACUGAGACACGGUCCAGACUCCUACGGGAGGCAGCAGUGGGGAAUAUUGCACAAUGGGCGCAAGCCUGAUGCAGCCAUGCCGCGUGUGUGAAGAAGGCCUUCGGGUUGUAAAGCACUUUCAGCGAGGAGGAAGGUGGUGAGCUUAAUACGCUCAUCAAUUGACGUUACUCGCAGAAGAAGCACCGGCUAACUCCGUGCCAGCAGCCGCGGUAAUACGGAGGGUGCAAGCGUUAAUCGGAAUUACUGGGCGUAAAGCGCACGCAGGCGGUUUGUUAAGUCAGAUGUGAAAUCCCCGGGCUCAACCUGGGAACUGCAUUUGAAACUGGCAAGCUAGAGUC
rnacentral:rRNA from 1 species